UACGUAGGUGGCAAGCGUUGUCCGGAUUUACUGGGCGUAAAGAGCGCGCAGGCGGUCGAUCAAGUCGCGUGUGAAAGCCCCCGGCUCAACUGGGGAGGGUCACGCGAUACUGAUCGACUCGAAGGCAGGAGAGGGUAGUGGAAUUCCGGGUGUAGUGGUGAAAUGCGUAGAUAGUCCGGAGGAACACCAGUGGCGAAGGCGACU
rnacentral:rRNA from 1 species